UACGUAGGGGGCAAGCGUUGUCCGGAAUCAUUGGGCGUAAAGAGCGUGUAGGCGGUUCGGUAAGUCGGCUGUGAAAGUCCAGGGCUCAACCCUGGGAUGCCGGUCGAUACUGCAGGGCUAGAGUCCGGAAGAGGCGAGUGGAAUUCCUGGUGUAGCGGUGAAAUGCGCAGAUAUCAGGAGGAACACCGAUGGCGAAGGCAGCUCGCUGGGACGGUACUGACGCUGAGGCGCGAAAGCGUGGGGAGCAAACAGG
rnacentral:rRNA from 1 species